CAAGGUUUUGAUUACCUGCUCCCAGGAGUCGUGCCCGCCCGCGGUGCUGAGUCCCUCGGCAGGAACUCGGCCUUGAGGGUUGGCUGGAUUUACCCUGAGAGUGCGGUUGGUGUUCAGGGGCACCAGGACAGCGGCAUCUGUUAACGUUUGCAGCCGAGUGGUAGAAAUAUAUUGGCAGUGUGGGGCAGAUCCUCGGGCUUGGAGUAUCUGGAAUGAUUUUCAGAAUUCAAUGAGGAUUCAUGACUGAAGAGAUUACUAUGAUGAUGGAUGCAAAACAGUUUCUCAUGGUGUUGCUGUGAUAGAUCUUGGUGUCCAUGGAAACCAGACAGAGUAUGCUGCAGGGAAGCAAGCAAGAAGGGACUGGAGCCUGGGGAAGAGGCACAUACGACAAAGGAAGAGACGCUCUUGGCCCCUCCCCUCCAACAUACUUUCAGAUUCCACUCAAGCAACGGCCAAUUCCCUGCUUAUGCAACUAUCUGUCUAUGACAACUGUGACAAAGAUUGCUUGUCAUAACUUCCUGGGAAUCCACCCCAGAACUCUCCAGCUCACCCUCUCCAUGACCGGUUUCCAUUUUACUUACCCCAACAGGAGCCUUGGCCUGGAAGGGGCUUGAUAUAGAAUAAGCCUUCUCUGGAUGAGGCCCGCUAACACCUCCCUACCUAGAGCUCCCUUACAGGGUGACCUCAGCUCCGAAGUGGAACAGAGUGUUACAGAGUUGUGCAUUCACGCAUAGGAACUGUACUUAGAGUUCUUCAGGUCUUUGCUCAGAGUUUAUCA